rnacentral:rRNA from 1 species
UAGUCCACGCCGUAAACGAUGGAUGCUAGCUGUAUUCGGUAUCGACCCCGGAUGUAGCGAAGCUAACGCGUUAAGCAUCCCGCCUGUGGAGUACGGUCACAAGACUAAAACAUAAAGGAAUUGACGGGGACCCGCACAAGCGGUGGAGCGUGUUGUUUAAUUCGAUGGUAAGCGAAGAACCUUACCCAGGCUUGACAUCCUUGGAAGCUUUCCGAAAGGAAAGUGUGCUUUAUUGAGCCAAGUGAC